GAUGAACGCUGGCGGCGUGCCUAAUACAUGCGAGUCGAGCGGACAGACGCGGAGUUUGCUCCUCUGACGUUUGCGGCGGGCGGGUGAGUAACACGUGGAUAAUCUACCUAUAAGUCUGGUAUCACUUCGGGAAACCGGAGCUAAUACCGGAGGAUCUAUUGAUGCGCAUGGUGGCAUAGUAAAAGACGGCUUUGCUGUCACUUAUAGCGGGAUAUGAGCCGCAUGGGGUAGUAGUUGGGGUAACGGGCUACCAAGGCAAGCAGGCGUGGCCGACCUGACGGGGUGGUCGGCCACACUGGAACUGGGACACGGUCCAGGCUCCUGCGGGAGGCAGCAGUAGGGAAUCUGACGCAGUAGGCGGAAGCCUGACGGAACAACGCCGCGUGAGUGAUGAAGAUGUUCGGAGCGUAAUACUCGGUUAUUAGUUAUGAACAACUGUGGAAGUAGCUGAACACGGCUUGACGGUACCUGGUCAGAAAGCCACGGCUAACUACGUG
rnacentral:rRNA from 1 species